rnacentral:rRNA from 1 species
AGGACGAACGCUGGCGGCGUGCUUAACACAUGCAAGUCGAACGGGGUAGCAAUACCCAGUGGCGGACGGGUGCGUAACACGUGAGGAACAUGCCUAUCGGCGGGGGAUAGCCGGCCCAACGGCCGGGUAAUACCGCGUACGACCAUCGGGUGGCAUCGCCUGGCGGUGAAAGCAGCAAUGCACCGAUAGAGUGCCUCGCGGCCUAUCAGCUAGUUGGUGAGGUCACGGCUCACCAAGGCGACGACGGGUAGCUGGUCUGAGAGGACGAUCAGCCACAUUGGGACUGAGACACGGCCCAGACUCCUACGGGAGGCAGCAGUGGGGAAUAUUGCGCAAUGGGCGAAAGCCUGACGCCAGCGACGCCGCGUGUGGGAUGACGGCCUUCGGGUUGUAAACCACUGUCGGGAGGGACGAAGCUCUGACGGUACCUCCAAAGGAAGCACCGGCUAACUCUGUGCCAGCAGCCGC